UCCCAAAAUUGAAAACUGCCGCGAGAAUUCAUUUCCUUCUCCAUCUCCUAAGUAUCAAAACAGAGCAAAAUCGAAACCCUAAUUCAGAUUGUCACUCGCCUCCGCCGCCCCAUCUCCUCAGGCGUCGACGCCUUCUCAUCGCUGACCUCCGCUGCUCUACGCCGAAGCCCUCGGUUUUGUCUCCGUCACUCCCCCUCCGGAGCCUUCCUCUAUUUCUCCUACCUCUUCCAGUCUCUCUCUCUCAUCCUUCCCCAUUUCUCCUCCCUGCGCCUGAUGCAGGGGAUUGAAGUGGCGCGGCGGUGACGACAAACUGUGCCUCCUCGCAGACCUUCGAAAGAUGGCACUGCUCAACAGCCGCGUUGUGCUGCACUUCUGCCUCCGUUGCAGCUGCACUUCUGCCUUCGUUGCAGCUGCCCUAUCUCGAAGCUGGAAGGUUAGGACCCUAAGCGCGGUCUCCGCCACAAGAAGUUUCAUAAAUUUGAAGAUUGGUUCUCAUAAAGUGAAAAAUGCUGAGCAUUUAGUAUGAUUGCAGGAAGAUGAGUUGAUCUACUGUGAUUGGAGUGGUUAUUGGUGUAAAAGAGAGAAGGUAUUGUCUGUUUCAUUUGAACCACGCAUUUGGGUUAAUGUGCACUGGGAUCGAGGUAAAUUUGAUGCAUUAAUCUUCUACUUCUAAUCACUUGCUAAUCUAUUGGGCAGUGCAUGUGAAGAUUACUUGUAACAUUUUUCUUUGUUUCCACUACAAUUUUAUUGAAUGAACUCAUUAAAUUUCUAGCUUUAGAAUACGGGACCCAGCAUUGAGUUUAUGUUUGGCUAAAUAUUAUGUGUAGUAGCUAACAUGUGUAUAUUUCUAUCAAAGGUUACAUUAAAGUUGGUAGCUGCUCAGCAGACUUCAUUUCUUUUAACAUUUAUAUGAAUUGUUCCAACAUGAUGUUUGAAGACAUGGGGUUUUGUGGCAGAGAAGGAUAAUUAAGAACAGAGAGUCUGCAGCUAUUAGGCGUAUCAGGUGGAAUCCAUAGUUUAUAACGGAUGAGCCUUUGCCUUCUCUUUGAUAAUGUGUUUUUGUGAUUUUAUUAGGCGUAUCAGGUGGAACUGGAAUCAAUGGUGGUGAGACUAGAGAAAGAAAAUGAGCAGCUUUUAAAACAGAAGAAGGGCGAGUUACUUGGUAAUGAGAACAUUAAUACAGAUAUAAUGUGGAAGAAAGCUAGAGUGAAAAAAGAUAAGAUCGUUGAGAAUGAAGACUUAAAGAAAGCAAGGUGGGAAUGAAGACUUAAAGAAAGGACGGUGGGAGUGUUGAGAAUGAAGACUUGUAGCUUUUUGUAUGGAUGUUGGAGAUGUUGUAAAAUAAUGGAUCUUUUGUGGAUGUUGGAUGAUUGAUUAUUAUCAAUGAUUAAAUGACAUCUUCAAUA